rnacentral:rRNA from 1 species
AGAUUGAACGCUGGCGGCAUGCCUUACACAUGCAAGUCGAACGGCAGCACGGGAGCAAUCCUGGUGGCGAGUGGCGAACGGGUGAGUAAUAUAUCGGAACGUGCCCAGUUCGUGGGGGAUAACGCAGCGAAAGCUGUGCUAAUACCGCAUACGAUCUAUGGAUGAAAGCGGGGGAUCGACAAGA